GAUGAACGCUGGCGGCGUGCCUAAUACAUGCAAGUCGAGCGAACGGACGAGAAGCUUGCUUCUCUGCUGUUAGCGGCGGACGGGUGAGUAACACGUGGAUAACCUACCUAUAAGACUGGGAUAACUUCGGGAAACCGGAGCUAAUACCGGAUAAUAUUUUGAACCGCAUGGUUCAAAAGUGAAAGACGGUCUUGCUGUCACUUAUAGAUGGAUCCGCGCUGCAUUAGCUAGUUGGUAAGGUAACGGCUUACCAAGGCAACGAUGCAUAGCCGACCUGAGAGGGUGAUCGGCCACACUGGAACUGAGACACGGUCCAGACUCCUACGGGAGGCAGCAGUAGGGAAUCUUCCGCAAUGGGCGAAAGCCUGACGGAGCAACGCCGCGUGAGUGAUGAAGGUCUUCGGAUCGUAAAACUCUGUUAUUAGGGAAGAACAUAUGUGUAAGUAACUGUGCACGUCUUGACGGUACCUAAUCAGAAAGCCACGGCUAACUACGUG
rnacentral:rRNA from 1 species